AGAUGAGUUUCUGGUGGUCCCACCUGCUUGCAAGUAAAGGUUUUGUUUUUUUACCCAAAUUCUGUGUCUCCAUUCAUUUCUUUCUGUGAUUCUGGAACAUUUGGUUCCCUGAGUAGAAAUCAGGAAAGAAGUGGCCCUUUUGGGCAUCAGCCUGAACUCCACCAGAGGGAGUGGCUCUCCGUCUCCUUGAGAGGAAAGGCAUGCCCCUGGGACUAAUUUCCUAGGCUCCCCGACAGGACACAGAGAUCCACUCACCAGUUUCAGAUUGCCCAAACCCAAGAUCGAAGAUGACAGAAGGAGGGCUGCUGCUGUUGGUGUCUCCUCUAUCUCUUUCCCGGCUGGAAAGAACCUGUGGUAACUAGCAAAUGGAAGAACAGUACAAAAUUUGUUCAAGAAACCUACAGUAAUUUUUCCUCACAAGAAAAAGGAACAUUUCUCAAGAAUCUAUGUGAGAGCAGAAAUAUUACAACCAAGGAAACUGAAGAAAUGAGGCUGUGUUCCAAUUUAUUUAAUCUUGCAAAAAUUUCCAGAGAAAUGAUGCAGACAAUUAUUUGAGGUUUGAAGAGAUACUGUAUAAAUGUAGUGAACUUGGAAAAACCUGAAGUGAUUUCCAGUCCUUUCAGAAACAUAAAAUGAGAAAGACUAGAGAGAAACUGUCAAUAUAAAAAGCAUGGGAAAGCCUACUCUGAUCUUAAUGAACAAACUCACCCUGGAGAGAAAAUGUUUCUAGGUAAGAAAAAUGUGAAAGCCUCCAGCACACCAGUCAUGUUCAAAUUCAGGAAAGCAAUCAUCAGGUGGGGAGUACACGUGGCUAAAACAAUGUGAAAAAAUUUUUAUGACUUCAUACUAUUUUCAGGUAAAUGAAAGAAUACAUGCGGAGAGAAGCCCUAUGUAACUAAGUUUGUAUGAAAGCAUUAUCUCAUAGUCAUUCCUUUCACAAACAUAAGAUAAUAUACACUGGGCAGAAACUUUAUAUAUGUAAGCAAUGUAAAAAAGCAUUCGCUACAUGGACUUGUUAUGAAAUACAUGAAUCAAAUCAUACUAGACAUAAAUCUUAUGUAUGUAAACACUGUGGGAAAGCAUUCAGUACACACAGCAUCAUAGUCAUGAAGGAACUCAUAUGAGGAAGAAACCCUAUGUAUGUAUGCAAUGUGUAAAAGGAUUUGCUGAGAAGUCCUCAUUCAAAAGACAUAGAGGAUCUCACACUGGGGAGAAACCCUAUGUAUGUAAGCAUUGUGGGAAAUCUUUCACUCAAAAGAGAUAUUGUUAAAUACCUGAAAGAAUUCACACUGGGGAGAAACCCCAUAUAUGUAAGCAAUGUGGGAAAGCAUUCAGACCACAGUCUCUGUCAAAGUCAUGAAAGAACUCACACCGUGGAGAAAUGGUACAUAUGCAAGUUUUGUGGGAAAUCUUUCAACUGAAAGAAUGUUUCUCAAAAACAUGAAAGAAUUCAUACUAAUUAGAAACCCUAUAUAUGUAACCAUUGUGGGAAAUCUUUCACCCAAAAGAGAUAUUGUCAAAUUUAUGAAAGAAUUCACAAUGGGGGAAAUCCCUAUGUGUGUUAGCAUUGUGGGAAAUCUUUCAACCAAAAAAAGAGAUCAUCAAAUACAUAAAAGAAUUCACACAGGUGAGAAAGUUAAUGUAUGUAAACAUUGUUGGACUGCGUUCAGCACAUUCAGUCAUUGCCACAUAUGAAAGCAUUCACACUAUGGGAAUCCUAUGUAUGUAAAUGAUGCAGGAACACAUACCCUACACAAAAGUAUUUUCAAACACAUGAAAGAAGUCAUAAUGAGGAGAAACAAUGUGUAUCGGUAAUGUGGGAAAUCUUCAGCCAACAGAAUACUGGUGAACACAUGAAUAAAUUCACACUGGGAAGAAACCCUGUGUAUGAUAGUAAUGUGAGGAAGCACUCAGUACACAAAAGUGCCAUGAAAUAUGUGAAAGAAGGCAUACUGUGCCAAAGUAUGUAUGUAGGCAGUGUGGGAAAAGAUUUGAAGCAAUCUCUUCAUCUUAUAGACAAAAAAUUCACACCAGGGAGUAAUUAUGUAAGACAGGUGUAAAAAGUUCAUCUAAUCCAGUGUCAAAUACAUGAACAGGAUACCACUAGUGAAAAAGCCUAUGUAAGCAAUGUAGGAAAGCAUUCGGCAUACACAGGUACUAUUAAAUACAUGAAAGAAGUCACAUGGGGAAGAAAGCCUACAUAUGUGUGGGGUGUGUGUGUGUGUGUAAACCAAAUAUAUAUAUAUGUAUAUGUUGAAAAUUCUGUGAAAAUUACUCAUAUAAUGGAGAACUGUAGAAAUAAUAUGAAUAAUAUGAAAAUUAUGAUGUCAAUAUUUCUUCAUUAAUUUUCUGGAAAAUAUACUCUCAGAUGGAAAUAGCCUGAAGUGUAUUCAUUCUGUGUUUUUCAGUAAAUUACUUAUAAAUGUCUGAUGUAUGUAUCUGUGGUCUUUAUUAUGAAAAAAAUUAGGUUGACAUAAUUAUAUAUUUUUGCGUAUGCCAAUGUCUGAACUUAACAUAUAGUGUCUCCUAAUUAAACAAGGUGAAAUGAAGUGUAUUUUUCACUUCCAAGUAGAGUUGGUAUUUAUGUAGUGUUUAUUUUAUUUUGUUUUUACAUUUGGGAGGAAUAAAGCAUGGAAAAGCAAAUUUUGGUAAUUUUUAUUUUUUUUUAUUUAUUUUUUUGGUACCGGGGAUCGAACUCGGGUCCUUGUGCUUGUGCAGCAGGCAGCAAAACCACUGAACUAAAUCCCUGGCCUGGGAAUUUCUUUUUAAUUGUGAUUUCCCACUAGCUUUGAUUUGAAUUUUGUUGUUGUGUACACUCCAUAUUCUGUAUAACAAGGUAUUUUUGUAUUUGAUGUUAUUUUAUAUUUUAUAUUUCAUGGAGAGUGGCUUGUGAAUGCGUUUUUGAGAAAGGUUAAUUGUUUUCACACAGUGUGUAUAUUAGCAAUAUUGUGU